AGUGAUCGCUGGCGGUAGGCCUAACACAUGCAAGUCGAACGGCAGCACAGUAAGAGCUUGCUCUUACGGGUGGCGAGUGGCGGACGGGUGAGGAAUACAUCGGAAUCUACUUUUUCGUGGGGGAUAACGUAGGGAAACUUACGCUAAUACCGCAUACGACCUACGGGUGAAAGCAGGGGAUCUUCGGACCUUGCGCGAUUGAAUGAGCCGAUGUCGGAUUAGCUAGUUGGCGGGGUAAAGGCCCACCAAGGCGACGAUCCGUAGCUGGUCUGAGAGGAUGAUCAGCCACACUGGAACUGAGACACGGUCCAGACUCCUACGGGAGGCAGCAGUGGGGAAUAUUGGACAAUGGGCGCAAGCCUGAUCCAGCCAUACCGCGUGGGUAAAGAAGGCCUUCGGGUUGUAAAGCCCUUUUGUUGGGAAAGAAAAGCAGCAGGUUAAUACCCCGCUGUUCUGACGGUACCCAAAGAAUAAGCACCGGCUAACUUCGUG
rnacentral:rRNA from 1 species